GAUGAACGCUGGCGGCGUGCUUAACACAUGCAAGUCGAACGUGAGGGGGUAGCAAUAUCCUUGAAAGUGGCGCACGGGUGAGUAAUACGUAGGUAACCUGCCCUGGAGUGGGGGAUAACAGCUAGAAAUGGCUGCUAAUACCGCAUGAGGCCGAGACACUGGGAAGUGUUUUGGCGAAAACUCUGGUGCUUCAGGGAGGGCCUGCGGCCGAUUAGCUAGUUGGCGGGGUAAGACGCCCACCAAGGCAUUGAUCGGUAGCUGGUCUGAGAGGACGAUCAGCCACACGGGAACUGAGACACGGUCCCGACUCCGUACGGGGGGCAGCAGUGAGGAAUAUUGGGCAAUGGGCGGAAGCCUGACCCAGCAACGCCGCGUGGAGGAAGACGGCCUU
rnacentral:rRNA from 1 species